CUGUGUGUGUCCUGUCACAAUGAACCAUGGUGAUAGCCUGGGUAGGGGCAUGAAUUCAGCCUGUUCAGACAGAAUGCCUUCUUCAGCCCGCCCUGCGCCUCCAGUCAGGGCACUUACAGUUUAAGGCUUUAAAACUUUUAUAACAUUUGUCAUUUUUAAUAUACCUCUUCACUACCCUCCCAGCCCGCCCCAUAACCGUGGGCU
rnacentral:lncRNA from 1 species